UGCACAACACUCUUUUUGCAGAACUUUAAACACAACUCACUGCUUACACUCAAUUACCAACACACUCCUAGCAAAAUUAUACACAUGCAUGGCUAUCAUUAACACUAUUUUGCCCACUGUCUGGCACACUUUCAAAUGUGAAAACUGUUUUAGAUAAUAAGUUCACUUUGCAAUCAGCCUAAGCACUAUAAAUAAGUCACAGGUAAGCUGUCUGUGUGGAGUUCAAUGGAUGGAGCAGUAAGAGUGAGAAGAGUGAGAAUCAGAGGAGGCCGAGAGAGAGGACGUGGAGGUGAAGAAGCGAGAGGGUUAGAGGAAGUUAGAGGAAGAGGACAAGGAGGUGCAAGAAGAGGACGAGGAGGGGAAAGAGGGAGGGUAAGAAGAGUAAGAUAUAGAAUGACUGAUGACAUCAGAGCUACAAUAGUGGACCAUGUCAUCAACCAUGUGAUGACCCUGAGGGAAGCUGGCCAACGGGUUCAGCCUAAUUUGAGCCGCUACACUGUGGCAAGCAUCAUUAGGACAUUUCGAAAUGAGAAUCGUUAAGUACUUUGUAGCACUGCCAUACUCUAAUGAGAAACACAACAGUACCAUACAUGCAAUAAUACUGAAAUUGUUAUUUUACAGAAUUGCUAGAUGUCCAGAUGUUGGGGGCAGAGGAAGAAUGUUCACUCCAGAGCAAGAGACCCAUAUAGUGAACAUGAAUCAGAAUGAAGCAAAUUUACAGAGUUCCUUUCGAGAGAAACACAGAACGUGUAAAGCAACUGUGAUAUGACUAUGUGCAGAGAGUGAUGGAACUAGAAGCAGAUGCCAUGGGACAUGAGCUACUUUUUGUAGAUGAGGCCGGUUUUAACCUCAGUAAAACCAGG